AUGAAAAAAAAAAAUAUUGACAAGUCUCUUGGUGUCUUCUUCCCAUGGAAAUGUUCAUUUUAAUCACAUGUAUCUUGUGCUGUUCAUAUGAAUUGGUAAGGAGGACUGGGAAUUCUAUUUUGUUGCUAAGUAUUUUGUUGCCUUUCCUCGACAAGUAUACUACUUUCUUUUGUUUAAGUGUUAAGUUUUUAAUUGAUCAACGAGAUUCAUCGGCCAAUUAGAAGAGUGUGUUAAAAUAUGAUUGUAAUGUUGGCCAUAGAUAAUGCUUCUCUUUUAUUUCAAAAAAAAUGUUGGCCAUAGAUUGUUGCCCUAAUGAACAGGUUAUGCUGACAGGGGAAUUGGUGAUUAGGUAUCUUCCUGAUUAGUUAUAGAGUAUUGUUUCUGUGCUUCAAUAUGUAUGCAGGUUAUAAAGAGAGAUACAUGUUUAGGAUGUGUGUAUUCAUUAGAUGCAUGCCUGAUAUGAUCUUCAGUUUUCUUCAGUCAUAUGUAAAUAUAAAAAUUGGACGCAUCAUUAGAUACUGUUGUUUGUUGUUUCUAGAUAACUUUACUACUUGUUUAGAGAAUUGGUGUGACAGCGCUUCUAUAUGGUGAAACUUUCUUGUCUUAUUGUCCAAGUUCUUCUCAGAUAGAAUUCCAGUUCGUUUAUACGUCUGGAGUGUAACUGAGGAUUUUGAUGAUUUGGAAGAUGUUCCGGAGAUUGAUAGUUGGGACAAGAUUUCUUACAUAAACCGACCAGUUGAGAUUCGUAGAGAAGAAGGUAAAUGCUUCACCUUACUUGAUGCAGUAAAAGCUCUUCUACCAGAGUUUUUUGGGGACAGUUCCUUGAUUAUGGAGGAACAAACUAGAGUUGAGGGUGAAGACAGACAGAAACCAGAAGAUGUGGGAGAGAAAAUAAGUAUAAACAUUAGGGAUGAAAAUUCAAAUGAGAAGACAGAACCUAGCUGUACUUACAAUGAUGCCGAAAUCAAGUAUAUCCGCAUUCAGGGAAUUGAGCCGAAAUGGGAGAUACCUUUUUCCUGGGUAGUGAAGAACUUGAUGAACCCGGAAUACUUUCUUCACGUGUGUGUUUGCAUCAAAGCUCCAACAGUGAAUGCCACUUAACCUUGUGUUUUUAUUCUUCUUUCCAAUUUCUAUUUAUCAUUCAAUCAGGGUUGCAUUUGGUCCAUUUAUUUUCUGAUUCAAUUCCUAACCAAUUUCUAUUUUCAUUUCUCGUAUUAGUUUUAAUUUGGAUGAUAUAAAACAUAAUUUAUAUUGUCUUUGCUACCAUUACCUCCACUUGAAUUUUGUUAAGAGUGAGAAUUCAGUUCCUUCCUUCUAAAGUGGAAGUAGAAUUCCCACAACUAAGAAAUUCAAAGUGAGGGUUAGGGUAAUUAAGACAAUAAAUUAUGUUCUAAUUAUACAUAUUAAAAAUUAAUAUGAUAAGCGAAACUAGAAAUUGACUAAAUUGUGUUUGUAGACAAGGUAAAAAAUGAAUUUGAUUCAUUGUAUAGAAUUGUACAGAAUUAUAUUCUCAAGGUACAAGAUUGCUCCAUUGCUGUGGUAAGAGUUUUCUAUUACAAGAACAUUCCUAAAGGACAACUUAAUUUGGUGUGUUGAGAUACAAGUGUGAAGAUAAUAUGCCGGAUAUGAAUCAUACAUAUGUAUACAUAUUUGACAAAAUUCAAUUUUAUCUGCUUAUUUUUGGAUU